rnacentral:rRNA from 1 species
UGCGCAGGCGGUUUUGUAAGACAGGCGUGAAAUCCCCGGGCUCAACCUGGGAACUGCGUUUGUGACUGCAAGGCUAGAGUACGGCAGAGGGGGGUGGAAUUCCACGUGUAGCAGUGAAAUGCGUAGAGAUGUGGAGGAACACCAAUGGCGAAGGCAGCCCCCUGGGUCGAUACUGACGCUCAUGCACGAAAGCGUGGGUAGCAAACAG